UGGGGAAUUUUGCACAAUGGGGGAAACCCUGAUGCAGCGACGCCGCGUGAUUUAGAAGGCCUUCGGGUUGUAAAAAUCUUUUCUAUGGGAAGAAAAUGACAGUACCAUAGGAAUAAGGACCGGCUAAUUACGUGCCAGCAGCCGCGGUAAUACGUAAGGUCCGAGCGUUGUCCGGAAUCAUUGGGCGUAAAGGGUACGUAGGCGGGUAAGCAAGUUAGAAGUUAAAUCCUAUAGCUCAACUAUAGUAAGCUUUUAAAACUGCUCAUCUUGAGGUAUGGAAGGGAAAGUGGAAUUCCUAGUGUAGCGGUGAAAUGCGCAGAUAUUAGGAGGAAUACCGGUGGCGAAGGCGACUUUCUGGCCAUAACCUGACGCUGAGGUACGAAAGCGUGGGUAGCAAACAGG
rnacentral:rRNA from 1 species